rnacentral:SRP_RNA from 1 species
AUACGGGUAAGUCCUACACGGCCAGCUCCUGAUGAAUCCUCCAGGACGGGAACGUAGCAAAGGUAGUUGGUUGUAGCGGCGCGAUGUAGGUAGCUUGCCCACC